UUCCGGUUGAUCCUGCCAGAGGUUACUGCUAUCGAGGUUCGACUAAGCCAUGCGAGUCGAAUGUAGCAAUACAUGGCGUACUGCUCAGUAACACGUGGACAACCUGCCCUUAGGUUGGGUAUAAACCCGGGAAACUGGGUAUAAUCCCCUAUAAGUCUCGGCUGCUGGAAUGCACCGAGAUUAAAAGCUCCGGCGCCUAAGGAUGGGUCUGCGGCCUAUCAGGUAGUAGUGGGUGUAGCGUACCUACUAGCCUACGACGGGUACGGGUUGUGAGAGCAAGAGCCCGGAGAUGGAUUCUGAGACACGAAUCCAGGCCCUACGGGGUGCAGCAGGCGCGAAAACUUUACAAUGCUGGCAACAGCGAUAAGGGAACCUCGAGUGCCAGGUUACAAAUCUGGCUGUCGAGAUGCCUAAAAAGCAUUUCAUAGCAAGGGCCGGGCAAGACCGGUGCCAGCCGCCGCGGUAACACCGGCGGCUCGAGUGGUAACCGUUAUUAUUGGGUCUAAAGGGUCUGUAGCCGGCCGGAUAAGUCUCUUGAGAAAUCUGGCAGCUUAACUGUCAGGCUUUCAGGAGAUACUGUCUGGCUCGAGGCCGGGAGAGGUGAGAGGUACUUCAGGGGUAGGGGUGAAAUCUUGUAAUCCUUGAAGGACCACCAGUGGCGAAGGCGUCUCACCAGAACGGACCUGACGGCAAGGGACGAAAGCUAGGGGCACGAACCGGAUUAGAUACCCGGGUAGUCCUAGCCGUAAACGAUACUCGCUAGGUGUCGGCCACGGUGCGACCGUUGUCGGUGCCGUAGGGAAGCCGUGAAGCGAGCCACCUGGGAAGUACGGCCGCAAGGCUGAAACUUAAAGGAAUUGGCGGGA
rnacentral:rRNA from 1 species